GCUUUAUGAUUAUUUUAUUAAACUAAGAAUUGUGAGUUUAAAUUUAGUUUAAAUAAUAUUCAUUUCGUUGGGGCGACGAGAAUAUAAUAUAGUAACUGUUCUUCUUAAAAAUUACAAUUUUAAUUGGAAGGUAAAUGAUCCCUUAUUAAGGAUUAGAAAUUUAAGUU
rnacentral:rRNA from 1 species